GGGGUUGUGGCUCAGUGGUAGAGUGCUCACCUAGCAUGUGCGAGGCCCUGGGUUCAAUCCUCAGCAUCACAC
rnacentral:tRNA from 1 species